rnacentral:rRNA from 1 species
GGUUCGCCGCCCGCGACUCGGCGAGAAGUCCAUUGAACCUUAUCAUUUAGAGGAAGGAGAAGUCGUAACAAGGUUUCCGUAGGUGAACCUGCGGAAGGAUCAUUG